UUACCUUUGCCUCAGAUUGGUGGCCUUGUUGUUUCCGCGACAAAGCCUUAAAAGGGAAAUAGGUGAGAUACCUAUGCUGUUCCCGCAACUGUGAUCUUCUUAAAAAGGGGUUAGCCAAAACCACCGCCACUGUGCCGCACGACGCACGGGAAGGCUGGCUAACCUGAAGAGAGCCAGGAGACCUGCCAGUCCGACAACAAUUAG
rnacentral:ncRNA from 2 species